ensembl:lncRNA
UCCUGAGUCUGUCUCAGAUCUCAUGGGCCAAGAGUCAUUGGGGUGAGGCCCAGACGUCCUUGUCCAGAGUUCUUCAAGCAAUUGUCUUAUAGCUCAUUUGAUCCCAGUCUGGGACACUGUGUUUGGAAAUGCUGGGUACAAAUGGUCAUCUUUGGGCCUUGAAAGACCAGCCUCAGUGGGCUUUCCAUAAUCCAUAGCUACAGGUAGCCAUGGUACCUCCUGUCCUUGUAUGUUCUUUGAGCAGAAGCACUGAGCAGGAAGCACCUGAAAUGCAGAGCUUGGGGAAAAACAGCUCAUGCCGUGGGCUCCCAGGUUGGUCAGCCAUUUCCCCUGUGGAGGCAGAACAAGGAGGACUUUGUAGGCUUGUAUUUUCCUCAGUUACCACCUAAGUUACUUGUCAAAUGGCCCUUCCUGCAUACAAAGUGACAGGCCUGCCAGGAGUACUGAUUCCACCAAAAAAAUAAAUAAAUAAAAAAUUUGCCACAGGCUAAUAUUUGAUCACUCUGGACAGUGAUCAAAAGCUUUUUAUACUUUCAAAAGCUUGUUAUAACUACAGUAUUAAAAGGAGGAAGAAAGAAUGACAGAGAGGGGGACAGAUGGGGAGAGAGUUUGUUAUCCUGACCGUGUGUGGUGAGUCUAUACUCAAAAACACCAUUAUUUUCUUCUCUCCUUUUCUUCUGCAGCCCUCUACAUCUCUUUCCCAACUACAGCAGAGUUUCUGAAGUGUGGUCCAAAGACCACUGAAUCCGAAUCCAGGGGGGUGGAACCCAGUAAUUUGUUUUUAUAACAGACUCUUUAGGUGAGUUUUAGGAAGGCGAAAUUUGAGAGCAGUUGCUUUAAAGGUUUAUAAUCCCCGGGAUUACUUACCUGGCACCUGAUCCAGUACAGGCUGUUCCUUCCCAACGUGUUUCCCUUUUUGAUGCUAGUCAAACUCAUCGUCCUACCCUCUCUCAUUUCUGCCCUGAGUGCAGCCUUGGAGCUCAAUUUGAGUUGUGCAAUCACUCAGUGCCAUUCUUACUGCGGCAGAAGGUACCUAGCUUCUUCACGGGAGCAGAAACCCCAUUAUGUGCUGGAGGCACACAGGGAACCAGACAAGGUCCCUGUGCCAGGGAGCUCACUGUCUAGAACAGAAGUCAGCAUGAGAGAGGUCAGGAAUAAGCUUCAGCCAUGCAACAAAAAUGGUGUAUGUGCCCACGUAAAUUUUACUGGUAAGAAGAUCUAGAGAUAUAGGUCUAGAUCUAUAGAUCUAGGAUAUAUAGUUCUAUAGAUAUAGGAUCUAUAGAUACAGGAAGAUGUAGAGAUCUAGAUCUAAAAGGGCUGAGCUACAGAAGGGAUUAAUAAUGAAGAUGAGUGCUUCCUAAUAGGAGUACUUGCUCCCCAACUGGUAUGCUAACAAAAUUAUGCCAGGUAGGGAUCUUUAGUAACACUGUCGUUAGCAGGUAAACUAUAUGCUCCAGAAUGGGGAACGUCAGGAUGCAGAAAAGUUUCCUUAGGUAGGAGGUGAAGGUGUCCCCCAAGGCACAACUCAAAUGCCAUUCGGGAACAGUCUGGUCUCAUGAUAGUUCUAUGUGGGUAUAUAUCCUUUCUGAGAAGAAUGAGGUUAGUAUGGAUAGAUAGUAAAAAAAAAAAAAAA